CCUACGGGAGGCAGCAGUGAGGAAUAUUGGUCAAUGGACGAGAGUCUGAACCAGCCAAGUAGCGUGAAGGAUGACUGCCCUAUGGGUUGUAAACUUCUUUUAUAUGGGAAUAAAAUGUUCCACGUGUGGGAUUUUGUAUGUACCAUAUGAAUAAGGAUCGGCUAACUCCGUGCCAGCAGCCGCGGUAAUACGGAGGAUCCGAGCGUUAUCCGGAUUGAUUGGGUUUAAAGGGAGCGUAGGUGGAUUGUUAAGUCAGUUGUGAAAGUUUGUGGCUCAACCGUAAAAUUGCAGUUGAAACUGGCAGUCUUGAGUACAGUAGAGGUGGGCGGAAUUCGUGGUGUAGCGGUGAAAUGCUUAGAUAUCACGAAGAACUCCGAUUGCGAAGGCAGCUCACUGGACUGCAACUGACACUGAGGCUCGAAAGUGUGGGUAUCAAACAGGAUUAGAUACCCCAGUAGUC
rnacentral:rRNA from 1 species